UCUGGCUCGUACUCUUCAAUUUUUUUCCCUCCCACACACUCCAAAUUUUUUCUGAGGAACCCUAACCCUCAUCUAUUCCCUCUCUUCCUCUCCAUCUCGUUCUCACUCCAAGUAGCUAGUCCUCUUCUCCCUCUCGCUUCGCCGUUCGCCGCCACGCCGUCUCCGUUCCGCCACGCUCAGUUCCAUUCAAGCUCUCGGAGCAAUAAUAUCACCAAAAGCUACUCACAAAGUUUCUCCAAACAUUAGAGGAUCUCAUUUAAGCACAGAAACAUGACAACUAUUUCAACAGUUUGUACACUUGGAGCUUCUUGUUAGGGGGUCUCCCUCAGAGAUUCGCAUUCGAGAUUGCUCGUGGUUGUCAGAGGAGGAAUUCACAAAAUGUUUUCAAUCUUGUGACCUUGGCCAUUUGGAGGUUAUACAUUUGCUUGUGGAAUAGGUGCUACAACUUGACCAGUGUGGACGAUGUAUAUCUGAUUAUGCAUUACCUGCUACUUUGGCAAAAUCACCAAGUGUCAGCAUUAACCUGAUAUACUAUUUGGAUUUGAAGAGCCAAACUGGUUUCCACUGACUUAGAGGACCAAUCUGAUUCUAAAUAUCCAGUACUUCUCUGGUUGUCAAUUUGGCUUCUACGAUGAGUAUCAACUAAAUGAAAUUAAAGAAGAGUGGGCUACUUAUGUGUUAAAGAAUUUUGCCUAGUGUGGACUGCCAAGCUUUGGUGAUUUCAAGUAGUGGCCGGGGGUUUGUCAAGCUGCUGUUUUUUCAUCAAUAAAAGAGGCUGAUGAUGAGUCAACCUCAUUGUUGUUUGUUGUUGUUCCAGCUGCAUGUUUUGUCAUUCUUUUAACUGAUGUAGCUUAUUUGGUUUAAGUUCUUGAGAGAGUGUGUUCUCAACAACAAUUAGUAUUUUUAGACAAAUUUGUUAAGUGACAUGGGUUUAAUAUUGUUUUGUUGUUGGCACAUUUGAGUAAUUAUCUUCUAGAAUAUGUUAAUGUUAUUUUGAA